UCCGUAGGCGGUGUGGCAAGUCGGUAGUGAAAUCUCUCGGCUUAACUGAGAGGCUGCUGCCGAAACUGCCAUGCUCGAGUGCGAGAGAGGCGAGUGGAAUUGCGGGUGUAAGCGGUGAAAUGCGUAGAUAUCCGCAGGAACAUCCGAGGCGAAAGCGGCUCGCUGGAUCGCAACUGACGCUGAGGGACGAAAGCUAGGGGAGCAAACAGGAUUAGAUACCCUGGUAGUCCUAGCCCUAAACCAUCAGGACUUGGGGUUUGCCCUGUACGGGGCAAGUCCCGGAGCUAACGCGUUAAGUCCUGCGCCUGGGGAGUACGGUCGCAAGGCUGAA
rnacentral:rRNA from 1 species